rnacentral:tRNA from 1 species
GCCUGGUUAGCUUAGUUGGUAGUGCGUCUGCCUUGUAAGCGCUAGGCCGCGGGUUCGAUUCCCACCCGGGGCG